AUGGUCCUGGACUUAGGAGAUAGGUAGGAGCACACCAGCUGGUCAACUGUAAACUAUGCUGGCAGCCUUGCCUUCAGUUUUGAAAUGGGAUCUAUUUGUUUGAGUGAGGUCAAGACGCCAGUAACGAUGUCACAUUAAGGUCUCCAAUGCCUUUGACUCUGUGAGGUAACCAACGCCAUCAGAUACCGUAUGUGUCUUGGCUAUGUGUCUGGCAGCCAGAAGACUCUCCUGGAGUGGAUUUUCUGUUUGGGAGAGUCACCAAGCACCGGAAGAGGAAAUGUGUUCAAGCAGCAGGCGACAAUCAUGGCCUUCCACACAGCGGAGUCCAAGUGGUACUGACUAGUCCAGGACACAUCUGAAAACAAG